UACGAAGGGGGCGAGCGGUGUUCGGAAUUACUGGGCGUAAAGGGCGCGUAGGCGGCCGAUCAAGUUAGAUGUGAAAGUCCUGGGCUUAACCUGGGGACUGCAUUUGAUACUGAUUGGCUUGAAUUCGGGAGAGGAUAGCGGAAUUCCCAGUGUAGAGGUGAAAUUCGUAGAUAUUGGGAAGAACACCGGUGGCGAAGGCGGCUAUCUGGACCGACAUUGACGCUGAGGCGCGAAAGCGUGGGGAGCAAACAGG
rnacentral:rRNA from 1 species